rnacentral:rRNA from 1 species
GACAGAGGGUGCAAACGUUGCUCGGAAUUACUGGGCGUAAAGGGCGUGUAGGCGGGAAGGCAAGUCGGGCGUGAAAGCCCCAGGCUCAACCUGGGAACUGCACUCGAAACUGCCUUUCUUGAGUGCCGGAGAGGAAAGCGGAAUUCCUGGUGUAGAGGUGAAAUUCGUAGAUAUCAGGAGGAACACCAGUGGCGAAGGCGGCUACCUGGACCAGCACUGACACUGAGGCACGAAAGCGUGGGGAGCAAACAGG